rnacentral:rRNA from 1 species
UACAGAGGUCUCAAGCGUUGUUCGGAUUCAUUGGGCGUAAAGGGUGUGUAGGUGGCGCGCUAAGUCGGGUGUGAAAUUUCGGAGCUUAACUCCGAAACUGCAUUCGAUACUGGCGUGCUUGAGGACUGGAGAGGAGACUGGAAUUCAUGGUGUAGCAGUGAAAUGCGUAGAGAUCAUGAGGAAGACCAGUGGCGAAGGCGGGUCUCUGGACAGUUCCUGACACUGAGACACGAAGGCCAGGGGAGCAAAC